UACAGAGGUCCCAAGCGUUGUUCGGAUUUAUUGGGCGUAAAGGGCGCGUAGGCGGCUCUGCACGUUCGUUGUGAAAUCGCCCGGCUCAACUGGGCGGGGUCAGCGGAUACGGCAGAGCUUGAGCAAGCUAGGGGGCAAUGGAAUUCCCGGUGUAGUGGUGAAAUGCGUAGAGAUCGGGAGGAACACCAGUGGCGAAGGCGGCCGGCUGGGGGUGACCUGACGCUGAGGCGCGAAAGCGUGGGGAGCGAACCGG
rnacentral:rRNA from 1 species